UAGCUCUUCUUGUGGUGUUGUGAAGCGACAGCUCGUGUUUUGUGUAGUCCCAUGUGAUGUUCGUUCUUGUUAACGAAACAUGACGGGCUGUUGUGUCGCUCUGUGCACUGGAUCGACCGCAAAAGAGCCGCGGGUAUUUUGUCACCCCCGCGACGUUGACCGAAUGAAGAAAUGGGCAGCGGAAGUAAAGCGUGACAACUGAGUACCGGCGGAUACAACGAAGGCACCCAAAACUGGCGCCAAUGGCAAAGAAAAUAGCGGUGGAAUAAAAAUCGCUUCAUGGACUGCUCCAUGGACGUGGACUGCUCCUGUCAGACUGCGCCGACCUCUCGGACAAGCAGCUCACCGCUAGAACUGCAACCGACCACAAGUGGGUAAUGUCACCAUGCACGAGAGGAUCCACACGGGCAAGCGGCCGUUCGUGUGCCACGUCUGCGACAGGGGCUUCCACCAGCGAGGGCAUCUCAACAGCCACAUGCUGGUCCACUUGGGGGAGAGGCCGCACAAGUGGCCAGACUGCGGCCAGCGCUUUAUCCGCGCGUCACACAUGGCGCUUCACCAGAAGCUGCAGCACUCGGCCGAAAGCGCUCGACAUCACGUAUACCCUGAGUGCGGAAAAGGCUUCACACGGAGACAUCUCAUCACUCACCAGCUGACCCACAUGGGUACGAAGCCGAACGCCUGCUCUUAGUGCGGAAUGAGGUUUGCACUGAGCAGUGAUGCCACGAGGCACAAACAGGUCGUUCACAGCUGCCAGUACCCGCUACACUGCCCACACUGCGGCAAGGGGUGUGGGAACAUGAACGUGCUUAGAGGCCACGUACGCGUUCAUCACAAUGACGAAUACGAUGACAACAAAGAGAAGCACGACGAUCAGUAAAGACAAAUGUACCCGGGGAAGAAAACCUGGAUGAUGCGAGACUUCAAUUGGGUAA